rnacentral:lncRNA from 1 species
UUUUUUUUUUUUUAAGUUUCCCCAAAUGUAGUGUUGUUAUUUUGGGGUUUUUUUUUUUUUAUUACUCAAAUGAAUUUAUCACAUCUGUAGUUGUAUAACGAUCAUAACAAUCCAAUUUCACAGGAUUUCCAUUCCACAACCCAAGCUGAGUUCUGAUUUCUAACUUAAUUUUGUGGUCAGGGAACAUAACAUACCUUGAAUGGCUUGCAGACUUUCAAAUUUAUUGAGACUUGUCUGAUGCUCCUUGAUAUGGCCUAUCUUGGUAAAUAUUCUAUGUGCAUUUGAAAAGAAUAUGUAUCCUCUUCUUGGGUUGAGUGUUCUGCAAAUAUCGGUUUGGAAUUGAGUUUCAUCAGCUCGAUGAUUGUAUGCAAAUCUUCUGUAUUCUUGCUGAUUUUCUAUGUAUUUGUUCUAUCAGUAAGGCUCUUGAAAUCUCCAAAUAUGACAGUGGAUUUUUCUGCUUAUUUUGCAGUUCCAGCAGUUUUUGCUUUAUGUAUUUUGAAGUUGUAUUAUUUUGUGCAUAGAUGUUUAGAAUUUUUAUGUCCUCUUGAUGAAUUGACUCCUUUACUGUUUUGAAGUGAUCUUUGUUUCCGGUAUGUCCUUUGCUUUGAAUCUACUUGACCGAUGUGUAUAAAGCUGUUCAAGUUUUAACUAGUUUGGCAGUCUUUCCCAUUCUUUCACUUUUAACCUAUUUGUAUUUUUAUAUGUAAAGUGCUUUUCUUGUAGACAGCAAACAGUUGGGUCUUCUUUUUAAAGGCUGUGACAAGUGCUACCUUUUACUGGAAGUACUUACAUAAUUGACAUGUGAUGUGAUUGUUGAUAAAGUUGAGUAUAACUCUGUCAUUUCACUGUUUGCCUUUUCUUUCUCUCAUCUGUUCUUUAUUCUCUUGUUCCUCUUUUUCUGCCUCCUCUUAAGGUUAUUUUUUUAUUCCAUUUUAUCUCUUAAGGCUUAUUAGCUCUCUCACUCUUUGUUUUAUCAUUUUAGGGGUUGUCGUAGGGUUUAUAGUGUAUGUCUUUACCUUACUACAGUUUACCUUUGAAUGAUAGUGUGCAACUUCACGUAUGCUUUGAACAUCUUAGUGUACUUCCAUUUUUUUCCCUCCCAGGCUUUAUGCUUUUUUUUUUUUUUUUUUUUUUAGGGCCAAACCUCUGUAGCUCUGAUUGGACACCUAGCCUGGAAACCUCCAUAUGCCAUGGGUGUGGCCCUAAAAAGACAAAAAGAAAAGGAAAAAAAAUUACUUUUAGCAACUUUCAAAUAUGCAGUACAGCACUACUCACCAUAGUCACCGUGCCGUGUAUUUCGUCCCCAGAAUUUACUUGGGUCGUAACUGGAGAUGUGGCCCUCUGACCGCCCCCACUCAGCUCGCCGUCCCCUGGGUGACGCCCUCAGCCCUGUCACCCACCAGUCUGUUCUUUGUAGCUGUGAGUUCAUUUCGUUCGCUAUUGUACAGAUCCAGCGUCUUCUCAACUUGUGUUUUUCCUGAUAGGAAACGUGAUGUCGUCUUUUAUCUUUGUUUCUCUGUAUAUGAGUCUUUUUUCCUCAGUCUGCUUUUAAGAUUGUCUCUUUAUACGGGUUUGGAGCAAUUUGAUUAUAAAGUGUCUUGAUUGCAUUUUCUUCAUAUUUCCUGCCCUGGAGCUUCAUUGAGCUGCUUGGAUCUGUGAGCAUAGAGUUUUCAUCAAAACUGGGUAUUUUUCAGCCCUUCCCUUGUUCAGAUUUUUUUUUUUCUGUCGUCUUUGUCUCUCCUCUCCUUUGGGGGACUCCAGUUACUCGCAUAUUUGGCCACUUGAAGUUGUCCGGGAGCUCACUCAUGUGCUCUUCUUCUUUUAAAAUUUUUGCUUCUUGCCGUGUUUUACUUUGAAACACAGUUCACUCACUAAUCUUUUCUUCUGUGGUGUUUAAUCAGCCAUUAAUCCCAUCCAGUCUUUUUCAUCUCAGACAUGAUAGUUUUUAAUCUCUGUAAGUCCAUUUGGGUCCUUUUUUAUUAUCUUGCAAAUCUCUGCCUUACCUUUCGGAACAUACCAAAUACAGAGAUAAUAACUAUUUUCAUGUCCUUGUCUGCUAAUCCUAACAUCUGUAUUAGUCUAAGUUGGUUUAAAUUUGUUGAUUUUUUUCCUCACGAAAGACUGUAUUUUCCUUAUUCUUUGCAUACCCAGAAAUCUUUAGAUAGCCAUACGUGAUAAAAUUCAUCUUGUUGGACGCUAGAUGUUUUGUAGUCCUCUAACCCUUUUGAGCUUUGUUCUGUAGUGUAGUUAAAUUACUUGGAAGCAACUGGAUCCUUCUUGAAUUUUGCUUUUUUGAUACAUGAGGCAGAUCUGGAACAAUACCCAGUGUAACGCUAAUUAUUUCCUUCUUUGAAGGUAAAGGCUUUCCUGAGUUCUCAACCCGGUGUGCCAUGAACUAUGAGAUUUUCUAGUCUGGCUGACGGCAGCAGUGCUCUUCUUGUCUUUUAAUCCUUUUGGAUGGUUUUUCCACUCCUGGUCUUUGGUGGUUUCUUUGCUCACAUGGACUGAUCAGUGUACUGCUAACACCCCAGGGACCCUCUGCAGAGUGUCGGGUUUCUCCCUCCUCUCCAGUCCGCUUUCCUGAGAAUUCCACCUGGUUUGCCGACCCCAGCCUCUCAGCUUACAUCAAGUCAGGACAUCUGCCAGGCUCUCUCUGGCUUCCUUCUGUCCGUAACGUAGCCUGGAAACUCAUUAGAGCAGUCUGCUGUUUUCAUGCUGGAAAGCUACCAUCUCGAGCAUAAGCAGGUCUGCUCUUUUGGAUUUUUUAAAUAUAUAUAUUGUCUUUAGUCUUUUUUUUUUUUUAGGUCCUCACCCACGGCAUGGGGAGGUUCCCAGGCUGGGGGUCAAAUCGGAUCUGUAGCUGCUGGCGUGCACCACAGCCAAAGCAAUGACAGAUCCGAGACACGUCUGUGACCUACACAACAGCUCAUGGCAAUGAUGGAUUCUUAACCCACUGAGCAAGGCCAGGGAUCGAACCCGAAUCCCUUAUGGAUGCUAGUCAGAUUCAUUAACCACUGAGGCAUGAUGGGAACUCCUGGAUUAUAUUUUUUUAUCCCUGAUUUUUUUUCUCCAAAUGUCUUCUUGUAUAUCCAGAGAAGUCACGAUACAGAUUAUGGUACAUGAACAUUUAGUAGGGCCAUAUAGUCUAGUUUAAAAAGCCCACAUUUUCCCUAUUUUGUGUAAACCAUUCUGUGCUUUUUUUCUGAUUCCCUUCAUAGUUUCCAUUGCUGUAGGUCUGUUCUGUCCAAGCUGGAGCGCCCGUACGCCAUCUCUUUCCGUAACAUCCUACCUUUCUUCCCGCCCUACCAUUUCCUGAGGCGUUUUAUCAGUUCUCCAGACUGAAAUGUAUCUCUUCUUUCUCCAGACUCCUAUAAACACUUAGGGGCAUCUCUUUCAUUCAGCCCUUCGCCUUCUAACAUGUAUUGACUUAUGUACACACGUGUCUUACCUCUUGCGUCUCCAGAUCCCUUGAGGACAAGGUCCAUGUCUCCUGCAGGUGCUCUUAGAGAUCAUACAGGGCGUGCACCCUACGGCACUCGCACAUGCCCGGCACACGCUUACUGGGCAUCUCGGGGAUGAACACUGAGUAGGUGUUGACGCACGUUUAACCCCAUGACAAAGACUCUCCUAGGUCAAAGUGACCGGGGCUCUUCCGUGUCGACAUCCACUCCGAACUUGGCUGCCAUAAGCUCCUCCUCCUUCUCUGUGUGUCGGCUUACAAACAGGAGUGGCUCUUGUCCCCUUGGAAGAAGGACUCUAAAGCCUGGGAUUUUUAUGUCACCAUCUUUGUCUUUCCCAAACCCAGGACUGCACCUGGUUCAAGAAACAGUUGUGUAAUCACAGUAGUAACUCCCCCUGGGAGGUCCGCUCCAGAGGAUCAUUCUGGAAAAUGAACACUUUUUAAAAAUUGCACAAAGUCGCCCGGCCCAGCAUUUGUCUCCCCAGAUCUGUCUCAAGUACUGGGCGCAUUCGGGGAUGGAGGAAGCACAAAACUAAAUUCCACCUCCCUGGGUUUUCUGGUUUUAAAAAGCCACUGAAGUGAUUUCCACUUCCAUGAGGUGCCAGGGGCAGCUAGAUUCUGAGGGACCGAAAGUGGGAUGGCAAUUGCCGGGGCCGGGAGGGGGCUGCUGGGCAGUUGCUCUGCUGUGGGUGCAGAGUCGCGGUUUGGGAGGAUGCCCAAGUUCUGGAGGCCAGUGGUGGUCACCGUGGCACAGCAACGUGAAUGUGCUUCAUGCCACAAAAUGGUUAAAAUGGAGUUCCCGCUGCAGUGCGGCAGAAUCGGCCGCGUCUCGGUAGCACUGUGACGCAGGUUCAAUCCCUAGCCUGGCACAGUAGGUUUGAGGAUCUGGCGUUGCGGCAGCUGCAGCUUAGGUCGAAACUGCGGCUCAGAUCUGAUUCCUGGCCUGGAAACUCCAUAUGCCUUGGGGCGGCCAGGAAAAAAAAAAAA